UACGUAGGGGGCAAGCGUUGUCCGGAAUUACUGGGCGUAAAGAGCUCGUAGGUGGUUUGUCGCGUUGUUCGUGAAAACUCACAGCUUAACUGUGGGCGUGCGGGCGAUACGGGCAGACUGGAGUACUGCAGGGGAGACUGGAAUUCCUGGUGUAGCGGUGGAAUGCGCAGAUAUCAGGAGGAACACCGGUGGCGAAGGCGCACAUCUGGCCCGAUACUGACGCUGAGGCGCGAAAGCUAGGGGAGCAAACGGG
rnacentral:rRNA from 1 species